rnacentral:rRNA from 1 species
UACGGGGGGCGAAGCGUUGUUCGGAAUUACUGGGCGUAAAGGGCGCGUAGGCGGUCAGAUAAGUCAGCUGUGAAAACCUCGGGCUUAACCCGAGGCCUGCAGUUGAAACUGUUUGGCUGGAGUGUGGGAGAGGAGAGUGGAAUUCCAGGUGUAGCGGUGAAAUGCGUAGAUAUCUGGAGGAACACCGGUGGCGAAGGCGGCAUCCUGGACCGGUAUUGACGCUGAGGCGGCGGAAAGCCAGG